AUAGUGGUGCAAUGGGUUAGUGAAUCUGGCUUUUAACCAGAAGGUUGGUGGUUUGAGCCCACCCAGGGAUG
rnacentral:tRNA from 1 species